rnacentral:rRNA from 1 species
UACGUAGGGGGCAAGCGUUGUCCGGAUUUAUUGGGCGUAAAGAGCGUGUAGGCGGCCAGGUAGGUCGGUUGUGAAAACUGGAGGCUCAACCUUCAGAGGUCGACCGAAACCAUCUGGCUAGAGUUCGGUAGGGGAGACUGGAAUUCCUGGUGUAGCGGUGAAAUGCGCAGAUAUCAGGAGGAACACCGGUGGCGAAGGCGGGUCUCUGGGCCGAUACUGACGCUGAGGAGCGAAAGCGUGGGGAGCGAACAGG